rnacentral:rRNA from 1 species
GAUGAACGCUGGCGGCGUGCCUAAUACAUGCAAGUCGAGCGAACAGAUGAGGAGCUUGCUCCUCUGACGUUAGCGGCGGACGGGUGAGUAACACGUGGACAACCUACCUAUAAGACUGGGAUAACUUCGGGAAACCGGAGCUAAUACCGGAUAAUAUAUUGAACCGCAUGGUUCAAUAGUGAAAGACGGUUUUGCUGUCACUUAUAGAUGGAUCCGCGCCGCAUUAGCUAGUUGGUAGGGUAACGGCUUACCAAGGCAACGAUGCGUAGCCGACCUGAGAGGGUGAUCGGCCACACUGGAACUGAGACACGGUCCAGACUCCUACGGGAGGCAGCAGUAGGGAAUCUUCGGCAAAGGGCGAAAGCCUGACGGAGCAAGGCCGCGUGGGUGAUGAAGGUCUUCGGAUCGUAAAACUCUGUUAUUAGGGAAAAACAAAUGCGUAAGUAACUAUGCACGUCUUGACGGUACCUAGUCAGAAAGCCACGGCUAACUACGUG